rnacentral:rRNA from 1 species
UACGGGGGGAGCAAGCGUUGUUCGGAUUUACUGGGCGUAAAGGGCUCGUAGGUGGCCAACUAAGUCAUACGUGAAAUCCCUCGGCUUAACCGGGGAACUGCGUCUGAUACUGGAUGGCUUGAGGUUGGGAGAGGGAUGCGGAAUUCCAGGUGUAGCGGUGAAAUGCGUAGAUAUCUGGAGGAACACCGGUGGCGAAGGCGGCAUCCUGGACCAAUUCUGACACUGAGGAGCGAAAGCCAGGGGAGCAAACGGG